rnacentral:rRNA from 1 species
AUGGUGGAGAUGCACUUUUGGAUGUUAGGAGUUUUGUUUGAGCCACAAUAUUCAUACGGACGAAUCGUACUCACAAAAUUCUUUACAUUAAUAUCGAUAUUCGAUGACAUUUACGACAGCUACAGCACCUUAGAAGAAAGCAGGCUCCUCACCGUGGCAAUGGAAAGGUGGGAUGAGCAAGCCGCUGAACACCUCCCAGGUUACAUGAAGUUCUUCUACAGCAAAGUACUCGCUACCAUGAAGGUCAUCGCAAAAGAUUUGGAUAGUCAAGGAAACAAGCAUGCAGACUAUGUAAAAAAGCUACUAAUCGAUGCUACGAAAUGCUACUACAAUGAGGCAAAAUGGCGUGAGGAAAGUGACACACCUGUUACCGUUGAGGAGCACCUGCGAUUCUCAGUGCCUAGCUGCUGUUGCAUGCAUGUUGCAUGCCUUGCCUUCGUUGUCAUAGGAGCGAGCGGAGAUGCCAUCGAGUGGGGCAUGACCUAUCCUAAAAUUAUGCGAGCCUCUUGUGUCAUUGGCCGUGUCAUCAACGAUGUGGCUUCGCACGAGGUUACACACUUACAACUGCCUGUGAUGUCAACGGUGGAAGCGUGCAUGGAGGAGAACAAGUACACUGCAAAGGAAGAUGCAUAUAGAAAGCUCAGCGAGCUCAUAGAGGAGUCAUGGAUGGACAUCAUUGAGGAGCUCCUCAAGCCAGCCGCCGCGCGACCAACAACGCCGCUCCUAGAGGCGGUGGUGAAUUCAACACGGAUGUUGGACUUCUUGUACAAGGAUCAAGAUGCGUACACCGAUCCACGGGCUCUCAAAGUGGUAGUAGAUUCUAUAUAUGUAAAUUCUAUAUAG